AGCGAACGCUGGCGGCAGGCUUAACACAUGCAAGUCGAGCGCCGUAGCAAUACGGAGCGGCAGACGGGUGAGUAACACGUGGGAACGUACCUUUUGGUUCGGAACAACACAGGGAAACUUGUGCUAAUACCGGAUAAGCCCUUACGGGGAAAGAUUUAUCGCCGAAAGAUCGGCCCGCAUCUGAUUAGCUAGUUGAUGAGGUAACGGCUCACCAAGGCGACGAUCAGUAGCUGGUCUGAGAGGAUGAUCAGCCACACUGGGACUGAGACACGGCCCAGACUCCUACGGGAGGCAGCAGUGGGGAAUAUUGGACAAUGGGCGCAAGCCUGAUCCAGCCAUGCCGCGUGAGUGAUGAAGGCCCUAGGGUUGUAAAGCUCUUUUGUGCGGGAAGAUAAUGACUGUACCGCAAGAAUAAGCCCCGGCUAACUUCGUGCCAGCAGCCGCAGUAAGAC
rnacentral:rRNA from 1 species